rnacentral:misc_RNA from 2 species
AUAUAUCAACCUCUUCAGCUUUUGCCUGUCGAGUUGUUGGAUGUGGGGGUAUUUUUUGCCGGACUCUAAAUCAUCUGAGUUCAGCUCCCCUAAAAUGCAUUAGCAAAACAAUUUGUUUACCGCUCAUUGGUGUGAUAACUAUCUACGCUAUUGACGGUGAAGCAUGUUUAGCUUCUAACAGUCCAUUAACUUGGACAAACCUCUUAUUA